UCAAGCUAAAAAGGGCGCAAGGUGAAUGCCUUGGCACUGGGAGCCGAUGAAAGACGUGGUAAGCUGCGAAAAGCUUCGGGGAGGAGCAAACAUCCAUUGAUCCGGAGAUAUCUGAAUGGGGCAACCCAAUGGAGUUCAUACUCCAUUAUCCAAUACUGAAUCCAUAGGUAUUGGAAGGGAACCGCCUGAACUGAAACAUCUAAGUAGGGCGAGGAAGAGACAUCAAAUGAGAUUCCGUAAGUAGUGGCGAGCGAACGCGGAAGAGGGCAAACCGAGAGGAGAAAUCCUUUCGGGGUACGGACUGCUUUUAAGACUGGAAGAGUUAACAGAAUGGCAUGGGAAGGCCAACCGAAGAGUGUGAGAGUCACGUAAGUAAAAAUUCUGACAGCUGCGCAGGAUCCAGAGUACGGCCAGACACGUGAAACCUGGUCGGAACAUGGGGGGACCACCCUCCAACCCUAAAUACUACCCAGUGACCGAUAGCGUAUAGUACUGUGAAGGAAAGGUGAAAAGGACCCCGGGAGGGGAGUGAAAGAGAACCUGAAACCUUGUGCCUACAAGCACAUAGAGCCCGUCAAAGGGUGAUAUGGUACUUUUUGUAGAACGGUCCGGCGAGCGAUUGUACGUUGCGAGCUUAAGGUCUUAAGGACUGGAGGCGUAGCGAGAGCGAGUCUAAACAGGGCGUUUAGUAGCGUGCAAUGGGCCCGAAACCGGGUGACCUACCCAUGAUCAGGCUGAAGUGAAAGUAAAAUUUCAUGGAGGGCCGAACCGACCUCCGUUGAAAAGGCGGCGGAUGAAUUGUGGGUAGCGGAGAAAUUCCAAUCGAACUCGGAGAUAGCUGGUUCUCCCCGAAAUAGCUUUAGGGCUAGCCUCAUGUUAGAUAUCCGGAGGUAAAGCACUGAAUGGCCUAGCGUCCGAGAGGAUAGCGAAGCCUAUCAAACUAAGAAUGCCGGAAUAUUGAUGCAUGGGAGUCAGACAGUGUGAGAUAAAUCUCAUUGUCAAAAGGGAAACAGCCCAGAUCUACAGCUAAGGUCCCAAAUUGUAUCUAAGUGGAAAACGAUGUGGAAAUACGCAGACAACCAGGAUGUUGGCUCAGAAGCAGCCACUCAUUUAAAGAGUGCGUAAUAGCUCACUGGUCGAGCGUCUCUGCGCGGAAAAUUUAACGGGGCUAAGAUACAAACCGAAGCUUAGGCUGCACUUUUAGUGCGGGGUAGGGGAGCGUUGUGUAAGCGGAGAAACAGUAGCGGAAGCGGCUGUGGAGUUUACAGAAGUGAGAAUGCCGGAAUGAGUAGCGCGAAUGAUGUGAGAAUCAUCAUGGCCGGAAACCUCAGGUUUUUGGAGGAAGGUUCGUCCGCUCCAAGUUAGGCGGGAGCUAAGGUGAGGCCGAAAGGCGUAGCCGAUGCACAGACGGUAGAGAUUCCGUCCCCACCGAAAGAUUUAAGCGCAGGGACACUUUUAGAAGGUCGGAGCCAGGUGUUGGUUCUGGUAGAGAUCGAGGGAAGAUUAGUACCGAAGUCCGGCUGGAUAAGAGGCGAGAAAAGCUGCGUGUAUAUCUAAGGUGCCCGUACCGCAAACCGACACAGGUAGGUAGGAAGAAGAUUCUAAGGCCAACGGGAGAAGGGUUGUUAAGGAACUCGGCAAGUUGACCCCGUAACUUCGGAAUAAGGGGUGCUCAUGAAAGUGAGCCGCAGAGAAUAGGCCCAGGCAACUGUUUACCAAAAACACAGGUUUGUGCUAAAUCGAAAGAUGACGUAUACGAGCUGACGCCUGCCCGGUGCUGGAAGGUUAAAAGGAGAUGUGCAAGCAUUGAAUUGAAGCCCCAGUGAACGGCGGCCGUAACUAUAACGGUCCUAAGGUAGCGAAAUUCCUUGUCAGGUAAGUUCUGACCCGCAUGAAAGGCGUAAUGAUCUGGGCACUGUCUCAACAGCCCGCCCGGCGAAAUUGUAGUACCGGUGAAGAUGCCGGUUACCCGCGACAA
rnacentral:rRNA from 1 species